GUUCAGUUCAGAGUUAGUGGCGAGUAGAUGCGAUCCAGCUGACCUUAUGGUUCUAGAUUUGACUGUGUGAUGUCAUUCUAGGGCGGAUUGAUGCAUUACUCCUGGUACUACCUGUGUCCGCAGAGACAAGGUAGGAGAGUUUAUAGUUGCAGAUGGAUCAGAGUAGUCCUUUUAGGGGGACAGAGUAUAGCUGCCUAGAAGGUGAUGUCAGCCCUGCAGGCUCA
rnacentral:lncRNA from 1 species